rnacentral:rRNA from 1 species
UGUUGAUUGGGGGUGCUAUACAUGCGUCGAGCGGACAGAAGGGAGCUUGCUCCCGGAUGUUAGCGGCGGACGGGUGAGUAACACGUGGGUAACCUGCCUGUAAGACUGGGAUAACUCCGGGAAACCGGAGCUAAUACCGGAUAGUUCCUUGAACCGCAUGGUUCAAGGAUGAAAGACGGUUUCGGCUGUCACUUACAGAUGGACCCGCGGCGCAUUAGCUAGUUGGUGGGGUAAUGGCUCACCAAGGCGACGAGCGUAGCCGACCUGAGAGGGUGAUCGGCCACACUGGGACUGAGACACGGCCCAGACUCCUACGGGAGGCAGCAGUAGGGAAUCUUCCGCAAUGGACGAAAGUCUGACGGAGCAACGCCGCGUGAGUGAUGAAGGUUUUCGGAUCGUAAAGCUCUGUUGUUAGGGAAGAACAAGUGCGAGAGUAACUGCUCGCACCUUGACGGUACCUAACCAGAAAGCCACGGCUAACUACGUGCCAGCAGCCGCGGUAAUACGUAGGUGGCAAGCGUUGUCCGGAAUUAUUGGGCGUAAAGGGCUCGCAGGCGGUUUCUUAAGUCUGAUGUGAAAGCCCCCGGCUCAACCGGGGAGGGUCAUUGGAAACUGGGAAACUUGAGUGCAGAAGAGGAGAGUGGAAUUCCACGUGUAGCGGUGAAAUGCGUAGAGAUGUGGAGGAACACCAGUGGCGAAGGCGACUCUCUGGUCUGUAACUGACGCUGAGGAGCGAAAGCGUGGGGAGCGAACAGGAUUAGAUACCCUGGUAGUCCACGCCGUAAACGAUGAGUGCUAAGUGUUAGGGGGUUUCCGCCCCUUAGUGCUGCAGCUAACGCAUUAAGCACUCCGCCUGGGGAGUACGGUCGCAAGACUGAAACUCAAAGGAAUUGACGGGGGCCCGCACAAGCGGUGGAGCAUGUGGUUUAAUUCGAA